UUCUGGAGCAGCUGAAACCGGUUUGAGCGGAGCCGCUUCCUGCCGCUCGGCGCCGCUGCGGGCUUCCUCGGGGAACGCUGGCGAGGCGCCGACGGCGGCCGCCCGGCACCUCGGCCCCCGGCCCUUAUUCUCGGGCGCGGCGGCGGCAUCGCGGACCGCGGAUUUGCGGACCCUGUCGGUGAGGCGUGCGGCCGGGCGCUCGGUGCGGGGGCCGCGGGGGCCGCUCACGUGGCGGCUGAGCUGUCAGGGCAGCCGGGCCAGGGACGCGGCGGGGCCGAGGCGCGCGGGCAGGGUCCCCCAUCUCGGCCGGCACUGCCCGUCGGGGAAGCAGCGACCUGGACGUUCGCUCCGCACGACCUCCUAAAAUAAAUCCAUCAGAAUGACACCAUCUCAGAUUACCUUUGAAAUAAGAGGAACCCUUUUACCAGGAGAAGUUUUUGCAAUAUGUGGAAGCUCUGAUGCUUUGGGAAACUGGAAUCCUCAAAAUGCUGUGGCUCUGCUGCCAGAAAAUGAGACAGGUGAAAGUUUGUUAUCGAAAGCCACCAUUAUACUCAGUAGAGGAGUAUCAGUUCAGUAUCGCUACUUCAGAGGGUGCUUUUUAGAACCAAAGACUAUCGGUGGUCCAUGCCAAGUCAUAGUUCACAAGUGGGAGACUCAUCUACAACCACGAUCAAUAACCCCUUUAGAAAGUGAAAUUAUUAUUGAUGAUGGACAAUUUGGAAUCCACAAUGGUGUUGAGACUCUGGAUUCUGGAUGGCUGACAUGUCAGACUGAAAUAAGAUUACGUUUGCAUUAUUCUGAAAAACCUCCCGUCUCAAUAACCAAGAAAAAUUUAAAAAAAUCCAGAUUUAGGGUAAAGCUGACACUGGAGGGUCUGGAGGAAGAUGACGAUGAUAGAGUGUCUCCCACUGUUCUCCACAAAAUGUCCAAUAGCCUGGAGAUAUCCUUAAUAAGCGACCAUGAGUUCAAGUGCAGGCAUUCACAGCCAGAGUGCGGAUAUGGCUUACAGCCUGAUCGUUGGACAGAAUAUAGCAUACAGACAAUGGAACCAGAUAACCUGGAACUAAUUUUUGAUUUUUUUGAGGAAGACCUCAGUGAACAUGUAGUUCAGGGGGACGCCUUCCCUGGACACGUGGGUACAGCAUGCCUCUUAUCAUCUACCAUUGCUGAGAGUGGGAAGAGUGCUGGAAUCCUCACUCUCCCCAUCAUGAGCAGAAAUUCCAGAAAAACAAUAGGCAAAGUGAGAGUUGACUAUAUAGUUAUUAAGCCAUUACCAGGGUACAGUUGUGACAUGAAAUCUUCAUUUUCCAAGUACUGGAAGCCAAGAACACCACUGGAUGUUGGACAUCGAGGUGCAGGGAAUUCUACAACAACUGCUCAGCUUGCUAAAGUUCAAGAAAAUACUAUUGCAUCUUUAAGAAAUGCUGCUAGUCAUGGUGCAGCCUUUGUAGAAUUUGAUGUGCAUCUUUCAAAAGAUUUUGUGCCUGUAGUAUAUCAUGAUCUCACCUGCUGUUUGACUAUGAAAAAGAAAUUUGAUGCUGAUCCAGUUGAAUUAUUUGAAAUUCCAGUAAAGGAAUUAACAUUUGACCAACUCCAGUUGUUAAAGCUCGCUCAUGUGACUGCACUAAAAUCUAAAGGUCUGAAAGAAUCUGUGGUUGAGGAAGAAAGUUCCUUUUCUGAAAAUCAGCCCUUUCCUUCUCUUAAGAUGGUUUUAGAGUCUUUGCCAGAAGAUGUAGGUUUCAACAUAGAAAUAAAGUGGAUCUGCCAACAAAGGGAUGGAAUGUGGGAUGGUAACUUAUCAACAUACUUUGACAUGAAUCUGUUUUUGGAUAUAAUUUUAAAAACUGUCUUAGAACAUUCUGGGAAGAGGAGAAUAGUGUUUUCUUCAUUUGAUGCAGAUGUUUGCACCAUGGUUCGGCAAAAGCAGAACAAAUAUCCCAUAUUAUUUUUGACUCAAGGAAGAUCUGAUAUUUACCCUGAACUCAUGGACCUCAGAUCUCGAACAACCCCCAUUGCAAUGAGCUUUGCACAGUUUGAAAAUUUGCUGGGGAUAAAUGCACACAGUGAAGACCUGCUCAGAAAUCCAUCUUAUAUUCAAGAGGCAAAAGCUAAGGGACUAGUCAUAUUUUGCUGGGGUGAUGACACCAAUGAUCCUGAAAACAGAAAGAAAUUGAAGGAAUUUGGAGUUAAUGGUCUAAUUUAUGAUAGGAUAUAUGAUUGGAUGCCUGAACAGCCAAAUAUAUUCCAAGUGGAGCAGUUGGAACGCCUGAAGCAAGAAUUGCCAGAGCUUAAGAGCUGUUUGUGUCCCACUGUUAACCGCUUUGUUCCCUCAUCUCUGUGUGGGGAGCCUGGUAUCCAGGUGGAUGCCAACGGCAUCGAUAAUGUGGAGAGAGCUUAGAUUGUAUUGGGCAGAGGCCAUUUGGGGGCAUGCACCACUGUUCCCUUUUCAUCACUGAGCAUUGUUUAUCUAUGCCUUUUAGGUUUCUCAGUCCAAUGAAGCAAUAAUGAAGUAUUUUACUACAGUUCUUGCUAGGAUUUCAAGUAUGCUAUUUAAAUCACUUGGCCAGGUAUAAUUACCAGUCAGUCUCUUUACAAUGAGAAAAUUUAUUGAUUGGUAAAUAUUUUAAAACUAAGUGUGUAAACGUAUAAUGUUAAACAAAUGCUUAUUAAAAGCAUAGCACUUUGAAAUUAACUACAUAAAAUGUCUCAUAUUUACACUUCUUACAGCUUUCAUUUGAUCAGGUCUGAAAUAUUUAGUACUUGAGGAACAUGACUAUGCAUAAUUAUACCUGACCAUUGGAAAAAAUAAGUACCUCAAAUGCAUGCAUUUGCACUGGUGAGCCGAACUGCACACAUCUUUGUGCCAUCUGUGUAUAUAUGUAUUUUUUACAUGAAUUGACAUGCAAAUAGACCAUUUUCAUUCAGUAUGAACCUUGAGGCUGCUGCCAUUCUCCCACUUAACCAAACCAAUGCUUGUGUAAACAGCCUGGAGGUGAUCCUUGAAAAUUUCUUUCCUAAGUCUUUCAAAAGCUGUUUUGCAUAAAUGUUAAAAUUUCAAAAUGCUGCAGGGUAAUUUAAUGUAUAAAAUAUUAGAAGUAUGUAUUGCAUACUUAAAGUAGAUCAUAAUGUAUAAAUUCUAUUCGGUGCAUGCUUUAGUUUUUAAGCAUGAGAUUGUAUACGUUUACUGUUAAGUCCUUGCAUCCGUGGUGCUAGGUGAGAGUGAGAAGGUGUCAAGGACUGAAGAUCUUUUGUUGCCUAAAAAAAAAAAGCCUGUUUGUAGGUAUUUUAAAUAUGCUUAUUUUAAGUGUCUCUCACUACCUAUUACACACUUGCUUUGUGAGUUUUGUGUCUCUGUGUGUGUGUGUUUCUAUAAGUUGUACAGUAGUUAAGUCUCCAUGCAGACAAUUCUCCUAUUGGAAUUCUUUAUUGGUUAUUGUAUUUCAUGCAUGUAUUUAGAAAUGUAGAAGAUCCUACUAAAUGUAUAUGCAUGUUUUUAGGAUUAUAUUAAGGUUUCUUUCAUUAGAAGCAGAUUGUUUGGCAUAACUGUAACUUAAGAAUGAAUGUUAAAUAAAAUACACAGAUUUAUUUUCUUCAUUAUAAAAUGAAAUUUUAAGAAGGUGUUACUUUUAUAGAAUUGGUUCUAUAAUAUUAUGAGAAAUUGGAGUUUCAUGUCUACCCUAAAAGGGUGGCUUGUUUGCGUCUACCUUUGAGUGCAUGUUCUUCAUUAGGCAGUUUAUUCAUGUAUUGACAUAUUUUGGUAGCAGCUAAGAACCUAAGACUUGGAAUUAUACGCUCUAUCUUUUUAUUUUUUAAGCCAAACAAUGCAAUGUUUGUCUACUCUGAAUUAUGUGAAGAUAAGCUUUGAAAUCUAUAGUAUUGUGUUUGUAACACUGAUAUUUAAUGGAAAAUAGUUUAGGAAAUGGAGUCUUCUGCAAGGGUUCUGUAACUUUUCCCACAUUGAAUGAGAUUUCCAAUACUUUGAUAUGAAUUAGGCACUUUUAGAACACUCCUAAAAAAGAAUUUGUUUACUUCAUCUGCAGGUCUUUGUAGAAUACAGUUAUCAUUACUUUUUGGUAACUUGAUUAGCCAUAGGUGUGCAUUUCUAAUCCUGUUCAUUUGUUCUUCCCCUAUGCCUUUCCAGUCCAGCUUCAUUUUGAAGACUCACAGAUCAUAAGGGAAAGGAGAAGAGAAGGAAAGGAGAAAACAGAAAUGUGGGUGGGCUUCUGAAACUUACCUGCAAAGCCAAAGCCAAACUGUAUAACUUCACAGGAAGAAAACUGAAGCUAAGGAAAAGUUCUGUGGCAUCCCAUGAUUUCAGAUAUAUCACUACAGCCCAGUCCUCUCCCCUGAGCUCCACCUUCCACAUCCAACUCUCUGCCUCCAUCUGCACUUGAAGGUCUAAUGGGUAUCUCACGUUUCAUGUACCUCAACAAAGCUCUUCCUCCUCCCACCAAACUGCUCCUGUCCCACCGCCUUGUAUCCUAUGUCUCAGGAAAUGGCACCUAAGAGUCUUCCAUUAUUUUUCUCUUAAUAAAAUCUUGCAAUUAGUGUAACGUUAUAUUCUGUGAUAGGUUAGUUGCCCAUUUCUUCCUUUUCAGUUAAAAAAUAUAUAUAUAUUCUUUUGUUAAAUAGCAUGAGAAACACCUUACCAAGUGCCAGAAAAGGAAUUUUGAUGAGUUUUGGGUUAAUUUUCUAGGUUACUAUGAGGGAAGGAUUAGCAUUUUUAAAGCAAGUUUUUCCAUCCAGAACACUGUGUGUCUCCAUUCAUUAAUCUCCAUUAAUUUUACAUCCUCCAGUAAAAUGAGUUAUUUCAUGUUAGGCAUUGAAUACUUUUUAAAGUUUAUUCAUGUAUUUUUAAAACUGCUUAUGAAUUGAUUUUUUAAAAAUUCUACUGUAUUUCCCGCAAUACAUUGUUCAGUAAUAUGAAGUUGUUUUUUGUCUAUUUGUAGCUACUUUGCUGAAUUCAAUUAGUCAAAGUAUUUUGUUAUUUAAGUCUCUGGGAUUUUCUAGUUAGUUGAUCAUAGUAUCUGCAAAUGCAUUUUGAUUUUUAAUAAAAGUUCUUUAUCCUCUCUUAUUUCUGUAAGCUAAUAACAAUUGUAGGCAUCCUUGUUUCUUUCCUGGCAUGGAAAAGCAUAGUGGAUGCUGAAGUUUCUCGUAGAUGACCUUUAUCAAAUUAAGGGAAUUUCCUUUUCUUCUUGGUUUCCUAAAUGGUCACUUCCCCCUACCCCCACCCUCCCAAGGGUUAGGUUUUGAAAUUAUCCGAUGAGUUUUUGAAGAGUUAGAAAAUAGUAGUUUUUCAUUUAUCUUUUAAUGGAGUGAAUAUUGCUAAUGCCUUUUCUAAUGUUGAAUUACCUUAACCAGUAUAAACCCUAUUUUUGGUUGUUCUUUUAACAUUAAUUUGUUAAUUCGUUUAAUAUAUCUAUAUUCAUAAGUGAGAUUGCCUUAGAUUUCUUAGGCUGUUUAUGUCUAGUUUUAGAGACUAAUAGGAUAGUCUUAUAAACUGAGCUGAGUAGGUUUUUCUAUCUUGUGGAACAGUUUAUAUAAGAGAAUUAUCUGUUCAUUGAUGGUUUGAUAAACACUCCUAUAAAAUUAUACAUAUUUUCAAGUAUUUUUUUACUGCUCUUACAGUUUCUUUUAUUAGUUAUAACCUAUAAUAAUUCUCUACUUUUUUUAUUAUGUUUGUAUUUCUUUGGGAAAAUCAUCCAGUUUUAUUGCAUUUUUAAAAUAUUACUGGCAUACAAAGCUAUGUGUUUAGUGAGAGAAUGUGUGUGUGUGUGUGUGUGUGUGUGUGUGUGUGUAUUAUGUAAAAUCUCCCUAGAUGUGAUCACUUUUUUUGUUCUUAAUAUGUUUUGGGGGCUUGGGAGGGUGUAUUAUCCUUGAUAAGAUUGCAAAAGAUCUGGAUCUUUUUUUUUAAAAAACUGGGCUUUGGUAGAACUGAGCAGUGUUUUUACUAUCUCAUUAAUUACUGGUCUUAAAUUUAGAUUUUAAAAUUCUACCUAAUUGGAAAUUAAUUUUGUAUCUGUUCUUGUUUAUUGAGUUGUAUCUACCUCGAUACUAAAUAUAGUUAUAAUUCUGUAACAAUGGCAUAAUAGCAUUAACCUUGGAUACAUAUAGUUUUAAUAGAAGUGGAAGAUGAACUUUAACUUAAAAAGAAAAAAUAUGCUUUUUUAAAAGCUAUAUAAUAAUGGAACUACACAAUAUAUAAAGUAUAAACCUUGUUUUUUAGUUUCUAUCUAGUUUGAGCUGAAUUUCCUUAUGUUGUAAUUCAUUAAAGCAUAACCAAAAUCAAAUAUUUGCUGAGGGCUUGAAUAGGAGAAUAAAGCAGCUUCUGUCCUCAACAUGCUUGUUAUUUAGUUGAGGUAAUUAAUAGUGUUUUAAAAAAUGCAGAAUUGUAGCAGUUGUCCAAAACAAGACUGCAAUAGAAGGAAAGUCACUGAGGUAUACCCCAAUGCUCAUUUAAUAACACAGAUCCAUUCUUUCACCUCCACUUCAACCAGAAUGGCUCUCUUUGAUGUGUUUUGUUUCUCCUAGUAGAGAUGUGAUUUAAAGAUGAGGUUCUUUACCUAAAAAUACUUGAGAUGCCUAUUAGAUGUGUAAGUGGAGGGGUGGGGGCUUGCCUGUUGGAUGAUUUCCUCAGUAUUGUCUUCCAAUUUCCUUAUUCACAGUUCAACUAUAUCCAGCUCACUUUAUUGAUAUUAUUUAUCCUUUCUGUUUUUAUUAAAUAAUUUACAGUUCUUUUUAUGGAAGUAUAACUUCCAUUUACCUCUUUAAACAUUCUCAAGCCAUUUUAUUAUUUCAGUUUAUCUUAUUCUUUCCAGGCUGUUCUGGAAUGAAUUCCUAUUCUAAUUUUGUUGCUGUCUUUCUUAACAUUGUUUCCUUAUGUGUUUUGGAGUUUUGGUAUGCAAGAUCAUGUUUUUGUUUCUUUCCUUCUUUCUUGUCCUACAGUUGCUACCCUUAGGAGUUCCAGGACCUCAUCUAAAUCCAAGUAUAUGAUCGCACUUGAUAAUUAAUGCCCCUAAGGACUCUGAAGACAUUGCACCCCACCCAGAGUUAUAAGAUGGCAUCAUUUUGAUUUCUGGUCCAAGGACAUUUUUAUGUUUUAUCCUUUUUUUGAUUUCUCUUUUUGUAGUUUGCCCAUUAUUCCUGUGUGUUUGGAGCAAAGAUCUGUUUGAUGUUUUAGUUUUGGCAUAAACUCACCAAAUCAUCACACAGUGUUAAAAAUCCCCAUCGUCCCAGAGGGCUGUGAUGUAGGUUCCCCCUCCCCAGAGGGGACCAGAGUUAAUGUAGUUAGGUACAGUGGAGGUUUGUGGUUCCAAAGCUGCCCAAUUCCUACCUCCUACUUUUGGAAGCAUCAUUUCAUUUUUGGGAAUUCUACUUCUCCUGUUGGGUACAGUCUUGGGGGCCUGUAAAAUAAAUUAUCCUCCUUUCCCCCAGCCAAGGACUAGGUGCAUGAACAAAGCCAGACCAACAGGACUCUUCAGACCCUCUCCCAGAUCACUGAAUAUUGAUCAGAGCAGCCAGAGUAUCAAACAAGUUUUUAGAUUCCCCAGUCCAGGGCAUCCUAAGUGGUUCCUAUAGGGAAGCCCAUAGAAUCUUCCUGAUUCUUGUUCUUUCUGACCUGGCUGUUUGGCCUUCCCUUCAAUUCUGUGAGAUCCCCUACAUUGUUCUAGUAAAUUCCUUUCUUAUACUAGAGGCAGAUUUCAUUACACCCAGGAAAACUUGACUGGUAGAAUAUUUACCCUUAAAAAUAUGUGUGCAUCUACAAGCAUGUAAAUGUUCAAAUACAAUUUUUACAUACUAUGCUUGCAGUUCAGCAGCUUGCAGUUUCUUCACACAUCAGAUACUUCAUGUACUCAACAUGAAACAAGAAGUAAUUCAAUUUGGUUCUAAUCCAGCUUAGAAUGGGGAUAAAUGAACAACUGGUGGAGUAUAUCUCAGUUAACCAAGCAGGUGUCUUAGUGAAUUAAGAGCCCAGCCUGGGCUUUUGCUGUCUUGUGAACAGUGUGGCUAGAGUGGCUCCAUCCUCCCUCCAAUAUUUACUUCUGUUGUUUCCCAGCCUUGUCUCCCACCGUCCUCAUUCCAAGCUCUCCUCUCAUGUCAUACUCUUCUACUCUGUCUUAGAAGGCCCUAAGACUCUCCCUGGCAUCUUUGUUUUUGCCAUUUUUCUAUAAUUUCUCCUUUCUGCAAGACCAGAUUCCUGAAGGCUUUUAUGAAUACCCCGGCCUACAGGACUAUGCCCUUCCUUUCCCCACUGAAUUCCCAGAGUAGCUGAUUACUGUUCACUUGACAGUUGCUUGCUUUGUUACUUAUUACAGAGUUUACUUAACUCUAGGAUAUAAAGAACAGUUAGAUACUGCUUUAAUGACAUGUCAGAGAGGCUUGUCUCAGUGUUUGAGAUACAUAAAACUUGUCUUCUGUCUUUUGGGUGCUCAUGAUGGCAUUAUAUCUGUGCCAUUAAGUGAACAGAUCCCACACUCAAAAAAGAAAUUUAUUUCAUUACCCAGCACUAAAGAUAGGGAAAAAGCCAGUUGCUCAAAAAGGGAUUUGACUCAACUUCCACCUCAGAAACCUAGCAUGUAACUGUCUUCCCCAUAUUACUCACCUCUUCCUCCACUGUGACAUGAGUUCCCUCACCUCUAGGCCAGUGUUUGUCUUCCCGCUGCUCCCUGGCACUGGCACUCUGUUGCCCCGCCAGUAGCUGAUGAUUAGAGAGGGGACAAUACUCCUCUAUCUUGGACUGGCCAAUGGUUAAUGACCAGUGACCAAUUUCCUCCAUGGCUGGUUCUGUUAGCUUUCAGAAACCUUGGGAAUUGCAUAUUGGAGAGACCAAGGUCCUGCAUGUCCUCAGUCACUGGCGCCAGGACUUCUGGUCACAGAUCUGACCCUAUAGGUGCCCCAUAGGAAUGCCUUGGUUAUGGCACACAUAGAGAACUUUUAAAUAAUAAAUUUCUUGUUUUGGUAACAGAGUCAGAUAUUUUAAUUUAUGAGAACUAAAAUCUAACGUCAGCCUAUGUCAAUCAGAGGUGAUAAGAGUCUCUUGAAAAUCGAUUUCUCAGAUGGCCAGGAGCCCAGCAAUGUGUAGAUAUUUAAAUAUUUAGUACCUUUUAUUACAGAUGAAAUGGUUUCAUAAUGUCACUUCAGUUAAUAUCCACAGGAAAUGAACUGAGCUGAAUGAAGAGAAGAGUCUGUAAUACUCUGAAGAUGAGAAUGGUAAAUGGCUGUUUUCUAUCUACUAAAGGCCAGCGAAGAAGAAAAGAUGCAAAGAUUUGGGGGCAGGAUUUAUGUUGACAGUAAGGAAGGGUCUCCCCCUGUAAGUUUUUAAACAUGAGCAGGUAGUAGUUUUGUUUUGUUUUUUAAUUAGUGGGCUACUCUGGGAUGAAAUGGACUACAGUUUCUCAUGACCCACAAAAAGAACGAACAAUUAACUUCAUUUUUUUCUGACCUUAUGUGGGAGCCAUUUUCACAGUUCUUUAGAAGUUAAGUAUACACCUAUCAUACAUCCAGCCAUUCUGCUCUUCAUUUUUUACCCAGGAAAAAUGAAAGCCUAUGUCGACAUAAAGACUUGAACAUGCAUGUUCAUGGUGGUGUAUCUAUAAGCCCCAAACUGGAAACAACCUAUAUGUCCACUAAGAAGUGAAUGGAUACAAAAAUUGUGGUUUAUCUGUAUAAUUAUUUUCAUUAGUAAAAAAGGAAUAAAUCAAUACAGCACUGUA